ACACACAAAAUUGGCAGAGAUAUGAAAGACAUGGCAAAGGUAAGAUACAGUGGAUGUAGGUGCCAUUGUUUGCAGUUGAAUAUUUUUGGUUUUCCCCUAAUUAACACUUGAUCUAUGGGUACUAGAGUUAUAUAUUUGCUGCUGUAACUUCUCCUUGAAACCCAUCUAUUCAUCCAUUCAUUUAUCUGCCCACCCUUUCAUUUAUCUGCCCACCCUUUCAUUUAUUGUUUGAUUUAAUAAACAACCACUCAAUAUAUCCUUUGUGUUUGUCCCUUUCCUAGGUGCUAGCAAGGCAAGAAAUCAAGCCAACCUUGCUUUCCCAGAGCUCAAAGUCUUGCAGGAGAGAAAGACAAGUAAACAAAUAUCAGAAGAGAAUAAUAAGUAACUGACUUGGAUUUGGGGUGGUGGAAGGGCUUCAUAGAGGAGGCAAUUCUAUGCUAAGACAGUGUGGUGGGUGGUUAAGAUCAUGGAAGUUACAGGCAGAUAGAUAUGGGUUUAAUUCUGAUUUGCUAGUUGUGUGGCCUUGGUCAAGCUGUUUAACCUGAGUCCUCACUUCAUAUUUAAAAGGAGAAUAAAACACAGAAACAUAAACUUUAGGUGAAUUGCGAUAAUACACAUAAAAGCUUUGUACAUUGCUGGGCACAUGGUAGACCCUAAAAUUGAAGCCAUGAUUUUCAUUUCAAGAUAUUGCAUCUUUAGUUUAUUAGAGUCUUAGAGCACUCUGGGAAAGUUGGAUUAAGAGGUUAAGAGAAUGUGUCUCUGUGGAAAAAAACGGGUUAUGUACUAUUCCUGAUUUUUUAACCCUUCUGUUGAAACUUUUCAAAAACUUUUCUGAAUCACAGUAGCUUAAGUAACAAUGUCGAAACGUUUCUUUGGGGUGCAUUCCCCUCUGUAUUUCCUAAGGUUGGAAUGAAAUCAAACCAAGGGUGGGAGAUUGACUGUCUUUGUUGCAGAUUACCUCUUGGUUAAAAAACCCUAAAGCAUUAACUCCUGAGGUCAACUCUAAAGCAUUAACUUCCAAAGCUCUUUGGAAGGCCAUCAGCAACACCUGCAGCACAAAGCUGUUGUCAAGCCUGUAAGUAUGAGUAGCACCAAGGGUACCAAAUUGUGAGGAUAUUCUAGAUCUGGUUUUGUUCUCUUAGCACAGACACUCAUAUACAGGAUGUAGAGAAAGCAAGUAAAACCCUAAGACUAAAAUAUAAAUGGAGAGUAAUCAUUUUUUAACAAAGACCACCCUGAAGUUAGCUGUUUCUUCCAUAGGAAUACCAUUAAUUACUACGGGAUAGAAGUGUAAUUCAUAUCAACUCAUUGGCUCUCCAGUUUAUAGUUGUUUCUUCUCAGGUAAUGGCCCCUGUAAUGCAGUGGCCAGAUUUCCUCAUUAUCUCCUUGUGCCCAUGGCCACAGUUGAUUCUAAGGCAGUUGUUCUCAAACAGGAGUGGCAUCAGAAUCUCCUUGUUAAAACAGAGUUCUGGAUCGCAUCACCAGUGUGUCUGACCCAGCGGGUCUAGGGUGGAGCUUGAGAAGUUUCAUUUCAAUAAGUUCCCAGGUAAUGCUGAUGCUGCUUAUCUAGGGAGUGCGAAUUGAGAAACACCGACCUAGGAGAAGGUAACUGAGCUCUCUGUAUUCUUCCAAUGCACCCACCUCCUCCCAUCCUCAUCCCAACCCCACUUUCCACAUGUUUUCCAGGUGUACUUUUCACUGGUCACAAAUACAAUAAUUUUAAUAAGUACUGGAGGGGAGCUUGUCUACAGCCUGGAGAAGAAAGGAAUCAAAGUGUGAGAGGGACAGCAAGGUGUUCUACAAUAUCAGAAGUCUGUGUGUCAAAACAAGAAUAGGAGGUCCUGUCUCAAGAGGUAGCCACCGAGUCUCAGAAAAAGAAAAAUAACCUUGAGACUUGAGACAGCAUAACCUGGUGGAAAUAAUCUUAGAGUGAGAGGACAUAAUUUUCUCCUUCCAAUUUCCCCUUCUGGCUAAGAUAAAAUGGAUAAAUGGAUCCUGAAGAAAUGCUUCCCAAACUAAUAUGAAGAUGUGGAUCCAAGAGGCAAAAGCAGUGGACUCUGGUGGAUGCUGUGAUAUGCUGCCCAGAUCUCCUUUCAGAAUGGAAGAACUUAUUUACUCAGAAGCCAAGAAUCCUGCUGAAUGACGGAACUCACCAGUCAGCCAUCUCCAGAGAUUGCCCUCAGCAGGAAAGAACUGCCCUACCCCAGAUCACACUGCCUUCCCAGGAGUAGAUUGCAUCCAAUGACUGGUUAAGCCAAUGACGCUCAACAACAACAACAAAAAUUUCCAAAUAUCUCAAGAAACAAGACUACAAGGAAAAAAAAUGAUAGAAACAGACGCACUAAUGACUCUGUUGAUUUGUGAUACAGGCUGUGAAAUAAUAGUGAUUAAUAUCUUUAAGAAAAUAAAUUGCAAAACAAAGGUUUUCACUUGAGAAUUAGAAUGUGAGUUAAAAAACAGAAAGUUUAGAACCAAAAUAUCCAACAGAAGAUUGGACAGAGCAGAAGCGAGGAUUAGUGACCUGGAUAAGAGGUUAGUAGAAAAUACCUGGGCUGAAGUAUGGAGGGCAAAAAGGAUGGAAAAUACUAAAAGGGAACGUAAGAGAUAUGCAGACACAGUGAAAAGCUCUGAUAUAUAUGCAUUUGGAAUGUUCAAAGGGGAAAUAAGAAAGAGUGGGUCAGAAGCAACAAUUAAAGAGAUCUUGGCUGAGAAUUUUCAAAAAUCAAUUGGAGAGAUGAAUCCACAGAUUCAAAGCUGUUAUGAACUCCAGCAAAAUAAAGAUAAAGAAAACUAUAUGGUGGCAUAGCAUAUUAAAAUUGCUGAAAGUGAAAGAAGAAACCUUGGAAGCAUCUAGAAUAAAUAUAAAAGUUUCUUGCAUGUAUCCCAUUAUAUGGGAUCAUUUUACAUGAAUCAUUUAUAUGAAAUACUUUAAUUAGCAAAUAUCAUAAGGACCAACAUAUGCUUUGACUUUUGUUCCUUGCUAAAGAUGGAGGAAGUAUUGUUACAAAUGACUGUCUUGUCAAUUUCAAUUUUUUGACUGACUUCUCCAGUUUGAUUAGGCCCCAGUUUCUAUCUUAUAAUGUGGCUAACAAAGAAUUGGUACUUCGAAUGGAAAAAUGUCAAUUCUGACACAGUCCUCAUGUUACUUGUAUUUCAAG